rnacentral:rRNA from 1 species
UACGGGGGGAGCAAGCGUUGUUCGGAUUUACUGGGCGUAAAGGGCGCGUAGGCGGCCAGCACAAGUCAGUUGUGAAAUCUCCGAGCUUAACUCGGAAAGGUCAACUGAUACUGUGCGGCUAGAGUGCGGAAGGGGCAACUGGAAUUCUUGGUGUAGCGGUGAAAUGCGUGGAUAUGCGGAGGAACACCGAUGGCGAAGGCAAUCCCCUGGGCCUGCACUGACGCUCAUGCACGAAAGCGUGGGGAGCAAACAGG